GAUGAACGCUGGCGGUGUGCCUAAUACAUGCAAGUCGAGCGAACGCACGAUAAGCUCUCUUCUUUGAUGUUAGCGGCGGACGGGCGAGUAACACGUGCAUAACCUUCUUAUAUGACUUGGGUAAUUUCGUGAAACCGCAUCUACUACUAGCUAAUAUUUUGUACCGCUUGAUUCAAAAGUCUUAGACCGUCUUGCUGUUAAAUAUAGCUAUGUCCGCGUUGCAUUAGCUAGUUGGUAAGGUAACGGCUUACCAAGGCGACGAUGCGUAGCGGACCUGAGAGGAUGAUCAGCCACACUGGAACUGAGACACGGUCCAGACUCCUACGGGAGGCAGCAGUAGGGUAUCUUCGGCAAUGGGCGAAAGCCUGACGGAGCAACGCCGCGUGAGUGAAGAAGGUCUUCGGGUCGUAAAGCUCUGUUGUUAGGAAAGAAAAGAUGUAUAAGAAAAUGUGCACGUCUUGACGGUACCUAAACAGAAAGCCACGGCUAACUACGUG
rnacentral:rRNA from 1 species